rnacentral:lncRNA from 1 species
AAAGAAGUGGCUUAGAAAUCUGCCUUAAGUAGCACCUUCUGCUACAUCAUGAUACCAAACUAUGAAGAGGCAAGUUAUGGGGAGAUGAUCAGGAAAAGCAGGGUAAACAAGAGUAAGUAAGGUUUGUUAUUCAGGUUCAAAUUAGUGCUUUCUCCUUCAAUGUCCCUAGUAAUUUAGUCAGCCUUCUCUUCCUGAUACAGAGGAAGAGGUACACACACAAGUGGAAAUUUCCUCUAUAGAUGUAAAUUUCCCUUAAAAAAGGUAACUUAUGCUGUUUUCAGGGCUUUUCUGUGUGUGUCUGCUAUUUCUCAAAAUAAUCAGCUCCAAGUCAUUCCUAUGCCAAAGAGGCAUAUUGAAGAUAGGAUAUUUUGGUCUCCUACUGUCCUAUAUUGGAGUAGCAUAAUUAUCUUCUAUAGCAGAAAUAGACAAUAGUCAAAAUGUAAGGGGAAAAGUCAAUGAUUUGCAGGAAGACAAAUGGUACAUAAAGUUGUCCCUCAGUAUCCACACAGGGGAUUGGUUCUAGGGACCCAGGGAUAUCAAAAUUCACAAAGGCUGGAGUCCCUCAAUACAAAAUGGUGUUGUAUGUGCACAUAACCUGUGCACAUCCUCCUAAAUACUUUAAAUCACUUCUAGCCACUUAUAAUUCCUAAAAAAAUGUAAAAAAUUCUUAGACAAAAAGUUGUUAUACUGUUUUACUUAGGAAUAAUCCCAAGCAGAAGAUCUGUAAGUGUUCAGUAUAGAUGUAGCUUCUUCCCCCAAAUAUUUUCAAUCAGCAAUUGGUUGAAUCCACAAGGAGAGAUGACUUGAUAUCUGAUGUAAGAGAAACUCCAGACUUUUACAUGAUUACUUAAUUUAGUAUUUCUAGCUACUUGAAAAUUAUUAUCCCUACUUACACUAAAGCUUAGAGGAUAUAGGUAAUUUGUUCAACUCCAUAUAACUAGAAGUAUUUGAACCCUGUUCUCUCUGAAUCUAAGACAUUUUCUUUAUUCACUAUAUGGUGCUGAACUCAAUGAAUUCCUCAGGUAAGUAAUGACCCAGAUGCCUAUUUAAAUUAAUAUCUAUUUCCAAAUUUUCACAGUGAUAUUUUUCAAUAUGUCAUUUGAAUUCCAUUUCUUUCACAGUCAACAAGUCACAUGUAGUUAAAUAGUUCUCACCAAAGAUGUAAAUAUAUUACAUUUGUACAUCUCUAUAGCUAUGAGGACUUUUGUAAUUUGUAAUUACAAAUAUUGAAAAAUAUAAGUUAUGCCUAUUUUCAAGUUGAAACAAAUGCAAAGUUUUCCAAAAACAUUAUCAUUACUUUAUCUUAUUUUCAUUCAAUUUAUAUUCUUGAGAGGAAGAGGGGAAAGGGGCAUGCCUAGGAAUGUUGCCUAACCCUCUGGCAUCUACUUAACCAAUUCCAUGCUCAUUGUAAGUGACUUUUACUAAUCAUGAUGAAUCAUAAAGUGUGUUACUUAACCUCAAAAUUAAAAAAAAAAAAAUUCUGGAUAUACCGAUAUCUAUCAUAUAAUGAUGAUAAAACUGCUGAGAUAGAAUAUUGAGGAAUACUUAUUUCUGACUGUAUUCACAGAUUACAAUUUGGUGCAUCAAUUCUUUUUGUGGUUUAACAAAUAUUUAUUCUAUUGUGCUUACUGUUUGUAAUAUACAGCAAAGAUAGAAUUAGAAGCUCUGUCCCUAACCCUUAAAUGGUACCCUCAGACUGAUUGACUCCUAAAAGUCUGUCCCCUAAACUCAAUUGAAAUUGUUGCAACAAAGCUUCUGUCCUGAUCGAAUUUGGAGAAAAAAAAGUUGGACGGAACCUGAUCAAAGAAUGAGAGGUGAGCAAAAUAGAAUAUCCACUCUUUUUAGUAGGUGAGCUGUUUUUUCUCGCCACUGACAUGGAUAGCUUUCUGUAGAAAUCCUAACUACAUGCAUAUAAACAUACAUUUCCAUAUGUACAUUUGGAAUAUCUACACAUGUACAUGUCCCUACCUUCAAUGUCCUGUCUCAUCAGUACCAAAUGCACAGAAAAAAAAAUGCACCACAAGGAAAACAGCUGGGAGUCAUUACUCAUAGCCAGGAUCAAGGGGGAGAAACACCUGGCAGGUGGAGUGUUCCCUCUGACAAAAUUGUCCAGAAAUCUGGAAAGGGAAAUAUUGUUUAAAACAUGGAUCUUAAAAUAAAUCAUGAUUAUAACUUCCUCUGGUCUUGGUGUUCUUUUCUUUUUUUUCUUUUUUAAACUCGAUUCUUAUUGCUGAAAAAUGGAAUAUUUGGCAUGAUAAAAUAAUAAGCAGAAAUUAAGUUGUGAUGGGACUUAGAGGAUUCCAUAAUGAACAUGGCUAUAUCCCUUUUCUCCUCUGCCUGUGCAGCCUAUUAACUGUCAUGCCAACAUUAUUUUGUUGUUGUCGCUUUAAAGUGGAGAUGUGGAAAUUGGACUAUGUGGAGAAAGAGAAGACCUGAAAACUAUUGCAAGCCCAUCUCUGUUCGGGAAAUUUGCUUAUUU